UACGGAGGAUGCGAGCGUUAUCCGGAUUUAUUGGGUUUAAAGGGUGCGUAGGCGGGAUGCCAAGUCAGCGGUAAAAAUGCGGUGCUCAACGCCGUCGAGCCGUUGAAACUGGCGUUCUUGAGUGGGCGAGAAGUAUGCGGAAUGCGUGGUGUAGCGGUGAAAUGCAUAGAUAUCACGCAGAACUCCGAUUGCGAAGGCAGCAUACCGGCGCCCUACUGACGCUGAGGCACGAAAGCGUGGGUAUCGAAAAGG
rnacentral:rRNA from 1 species